rnacentral:tRNA from 1 species
ACCUGGCUGGCUCAGUCGGUAGAACAUGUGACUCUUGAUCUCGGGGUUGUGAGUUUGAGCCCCAUGUUGGGUG